AUGGUACUGAGCUUCGGAGCAACCGUCGCCGUGGUCUACGUCGUGUACAGGCACGUCAAGAAGCACGACGUCCCCGCCAUCAGCAUCGUCGCCGCGAGCGUCAAGACGGCGGGGAGCACUGCUGGUACGGCGCUGUACGCGGUGGUGCCGGACUCGCAGAUACGGGACGCCACCGUGGAGGGGUUCCUCGAGAAGAUCGGUGGCGACAAGCCCAUCCGGUUCACCGCGCGGCAGCUCUGGGGCUUCACCAACAACUACUCGGCCAGGAUCGGCGCCGGGGGCUCGGGGGUCGUGUACAGGGGCGUGCUCCCGAACGGCCUCGCGGUCGCCGUGAAGCGCCUCCACGCCGGCCGCGAGGACGGGAGCUCCAAGGAGUUCAUGGCCGAGGUGAGCACCAUCGGGAGGACCCACCACGUCAACCUCGUGAGGCUCUUCGGCUUCUGCUUCGACGCCGACGUGCGCGCGCUGGUGUACGAGCACAUGGAGCGUGGCGCGCUCGACGCCUACCUUUUCGACUCUGCCGUCGCCGCCGUGGGAUUCCCGACGCUGCGCGGCAUCGCCGUCGGCGUCGCGAGGGGCCUCCGGUACCUCCACGAGGAGUGCCAGCAAAAGAUCGUGCACUACGACGUCAAGCCCGGCAACGUGCUCCUCGAAGUCGGCCUCGCUCCCAAGGUGGCCGGCUUUGGACUCGCGCAGCUGACGAACCGGGCGGACACGGACGCCACCGUCUCGGUGAUGCGCGGCACACCCGGGUACGCCGCGCCGGAGCUGUGGAUGCAGGUGGGCGUCACCGAGAAGUGCGACGUGUACAGCUUCGGCAUCCUCCUGUUCGAGAUCCUCGGCCGGAGGAGGAACUUCGACGAAGCAGCGCCGGAGAGCCGGCGGUGGUUCCCAAAGCUGGUGUGGACCAAAUACGAGUGUGGCGAGCUCGCGGAGGUCGUUGAUAGCCGUGGCAGCGCGGAGGAGGAGAAGGGCAGGGAGACGCAGCUGCCGGAGGCGAGGCCGACCAUGGGCAGCGUGGUGAAGAUGCUGGAAGGGGAGAUGGACAUUCCUCCUCCACCGAAUCCGUUCCAGCAUCUCAUGGCUGUGCCGGAGGUGGCGUGGACGUCAAAUGGUCGAGCGAGCACCAUUGUUGGGAGUGGCUCAAGACGCGAUCACUCCGUGGUCGCCGUGAAUAGUUGA
rnacentral:rRNA from 1 species